AGGAAGGUUUGAUUAUGGCUUUUUGGUUUAUUCUUAGAGGUGCUUCAUAAUAUUAGAAGAGAUUUGUGAAGAAUCAGGGGUUUCACGAGAUUAGUAGCUAUAUUUGGAAAACGUAAUAAUUUAUAGUCCAGUCUCUGGGAGUAUGGGGGUAAAUAUGAAUGCCAGCCACCGCGGUCACAUUCAAUCCAUAAUAAAUUAAAGCAGAUAGAUUAGAAAUUUAAUUUGAGGAAAUUUUAUUAGGUUAGUAAGAGUAUAAUUGAUUUAUCUAAAUAUCCUAAAAAUUCCUGUGGGGGUUUUCUUAUGUAGCUAAUUACAAAAACCGGGAUUGGAUACCCCGUUAUUAUUAGUGUAAAUUAGGAGUUCUACUUUACUAAACAUUAAAUUGUCAAAAGGAAAUAAAUAGGCGGUGUCCGAUUUAAAAAAUAGGGGAACCUGGGUAAUAAAGGACGAUCCACCUGAAUUAUUCUUCGCCUUAAAAGCUUGUGUAUGGUUGUUUCCUCUAAAUUGAGAGGUUUAGGGUAAAAAUCUUAUAAUUAAGAAAAAAUUCAGAUUGUCAUGCUGCUAUGGCGGAGUUAUUCUGGGUUACUGUAAUUUAAGAAUUAUGUUUUGAGUCUUACAUAGAUUAAAAGAAAUUAAUUGUGGAGGAAGGACUUGUAAGUAAAUCAGUCAUAUAAUGAUUGUUUGAAUAUUUUCGGAUGAGUACUAAUCGCCCGUCGCUUGCGGAGAGAUAAUCUGUGAUAAGUCGUAACAAAGUAGUUGUACUGGAAAGUGUAGCUAAAUUAUAAUAU
rnacentral:ncRNA from 1 species